ensembl:lncRNA
GGGGGGGGGGGAGGAGAAGAGAAGCAGCUUUUCGCUCUAUUCAGCCUGGACGCGGGAGCGCGGACGAUUUCCGCUCCCAUUGUGAGGCGGGGCCCGGGGGCGGCCGUGAAUGGGGGGUCUGCCGAGCGGCCCGCGGGGCUGUCAGGCGGCUCAGCGUAAUCAGGGCUAAUGACGGUGGCCGGGCGCUCCGCGGGACAAUGCGCGGGGCCGCGGGGUUUUGUCGGCCUGAAUGGCUAAUAGGUUCGCCUGGGGGUGCGAGGGGGGCGGUGUCGGGGAAGAGGCGGCGGCGAGGGGAAAAGGGGUCAUUGUUCGCGCACCGGCCCGGGCGCCGAGGCGCGUCCCUCUCCCCGCGCGGCGGCCCCCGGGCCGGGAGCGGCCGACUGGAAGGCCGCGGCCGGGAGGCCCCCUGGAGGCCUGCUGCGACAGGGCGGCGGGAACGGCGGGUGCGUGGGUUCCGCGUACGGGAGGCAGCCCCGACACAACUCUGUUCCCCGGAGACGCCCAGAGGCUUUUAACUCUGCCUGGGGCUGCUUGUCAUCUAUUUGAAGCUCUCCAAAGGGACCUUAGCCCAUUCUGCAAUUCCGGAUAACCCGAAAUGUAAGUAUGAUCAGUGAAAAAAAGAUAACCUCUUAGGGAAAAUGCAAGGUCUAUUUUUUGGAAGAAGCGGUGAUCCCAGUUUACUUACAUUUGUAUUGCUCUUCAUAGCUAGUAAUGAGAUCCUUUCAGCUGCACCAUCUCACUUCCUCACAAGAAUGCUGUGAGGUGAGUCAGCAGAUAUGGUUCCUACCUUCCAGAUAAAACUGGAGGCUCACGUUACUUGUGCAGCCACAGGACCAGGGAAGAAUCCAGAUUUUCCAGGGCUUAAAGUUUAGAUAACUUGAAGGGGAGAAUACUCUUUAAGAUAAAGGAUACAAAUUUAUGAGUACAAAAUUACAACAAUUACAAAAUUUUAAAACCUAGCAAAUACAACAAACAUCACAAAAUCCAAAUGAUAACAAAAUAAGUUUAUUAAUUUUCAUAUAUAUCUCUAGAAUAGUUUUUUCCCUACUUUUUUUUCCCCUGUGUGUUCUUUUAUUGCUUCUAUAUAUGACAACAAUUUUACACUACAGACUUGAAUAGAUAAUUCAGUCUUUCCUCUAUUAUGGGUUGUUUUUAACAUUUUAUUCAUGAUUUAGAAAAGCUUCUUUCAGUUUCAUAAUUCGUUAAUAAUGCCAUAUGUAAUUUUUUGGAUUGGUAUCAAAUUGGGAAAGCCUCUGUGAAGUUUCUUUCAUAUAUGAACAGAUUUCAAGACAUAGACAUUUCAAUUUUCCUUGACACUGACAACACUCAUUAGCUAGUUUGUAAUCAAGGGCCUUACAUAUUCAUGUUGUGACACAUAAAUUAGCUCAACAAGCAGUAGAAAUAUUCCUUAUAAGACAUGCCUGCACCAAAAGAGCUAACAAUAACCUAACAAUACACAGAAAUAACAACAAACCAUAAAAAUAUAUACCAGUAAACCCAAACUAUAUCCCCAAUUCAAGUUCCCUGGAUAGCAAAAAUGACUGGUUACUUCAGUGCCACCCAGCACUAAGGGAAAUGUGACAAAGGGAAAUGGGAGUGGAUAGAGACAGUGGUCUAUUGUAGUUAAAUUACCUUGUUUUGCAAAUUUUCCAAAAAUGCAUGAUCAUGUGAACACAGUGCUAGGAUCCCUCCCAGAGCCUUUGAAGGGAUCUAUGUAAAUAAGGUAUUUUACAACCUAUGUGUCACUUGCAACCUAUGUGGCUGCUUCUUCACAGGCAAAGUAAGUGUUUGAUAAGAACAGGUUUUCCUUUUCUUUUUUCUUUUGAGAACAGGUUUUCAGAAUCCAUGUCCAGGACUGCUUUCUAUCAUCCAGGACAUAAUGUGUUUCCCCAGAAAAUUUUGACAAUAUUCUACUCAAAAGCUGUUUUAAGGGAUCCCUGGGUGGUGCAGUGGUUUGGCGCCUGCCUUUGGCCCAGGGCGCAAUCCUGGAGACCCGGGUUUGAAUCCCACGUCGGGCUCCCGGUGUAUGGAGCCUCCUUCUCCCUCUGCCUAUGUCUCUGCCUCUCUCUCUCUCUGUGUGUGUGACUAUCAUUAAAAAAAAAAAAAAAAAGCUGUUUUAAAAAAUGGUUCAUGAUAGAAGAAAAGAGUUUCAGAUUGCAGCUGGCCUUUGGUAGGACUGUGAGAUAGACAGGUUACUCCUGAGAACCUCACCUUCCCUUUUGGGAGUUCUUUACCUUGCCUCCUUAUGGGUGCUACAUCCCAAACUGUAAAAAACCCUUCAGUGCUCUUCACCACCACCCUCUCCCCCCUUUAAUCAAAAUAUAUUCUUGGUUGUUACCAAAAAAUCAGAUAAGCCAAUUCACAUUGACAUACAAAUAGCUGCUAAAAGCUUAAUAAAUUACCUACAGAUGGGGGCCUAAGAGGGUAC